AACCAGAGACAUCAUUUACCCCUACAGGUGAUUCCAGCCUUUACCCCUACAGGUGAUUCCAGCCUUUACCCCUACAGGUGAUUCCAGCCUUUACCCCUACAGGUGAUUCCAGCCUUUACCCCUACAGGUGAUUCCAGCCUUUACCCCUACAGGUGAUUCCAGCCUUUACCCCUACAGGUGAUUCCAGCCUUUACCCCUACAGGUGAUUCCAGCCUUUACCCCUACAGGUGAUUCCAGCCUUUACCCCUACAGGUGAUUCCAGCCUUUACCCCUACAGGUGAUUCCAGCCUUUACCCCUACAGGUAAUUCCAGCCUUUACCCCUACAGGUGAUUCCAGCCUUUACCCCUACAGGUGAUUCCAGCCUUUACCCCUACAGGUAAUUCCAGCCUUUACCCCUACAGGUGAUUCCAACCUUUACCCCUACAGGUGAUUCCAACCUUUACCCCUACAGGUGAUUCCAACCUUUACCCCUACAGGUGAUUCCAACCUUUACCCCUACAGGUGAUUCCAACCUUUACCCCUACAGGUGAUUCCAGCCUUUACCCCUACAGGUAAUUCCAGCCUUUACCCCUACAGGUGAUUCCAGCCUUUACCCCUACAGGUGAUUCCAGCCUUUACCCCUACAGGUGAUUCCAUCCUUUACCCCUACAGGUGAUUCCAUCCUUUACCCCUACAGGUGAUUCCAUCCUUUACCCCUACAGGUGAUUCCAACCUUUACCCCUACAGGUGAUUCCAUCCUUUACCCCUACAGGUGAUUCCAACCUUUACCCCUACAGGUGAUUCCAUCAUUUACCUCUACAGGUGAUUCCAACCUUUACCCCUACAGGUGAUUCCAACCUUUACCCCUACAGGUGAUUCCAACCUUUACCCCUACAGGUGAUUCCAACCUUUACCCCUACAGGUGAUUCCAGCCUUUACCCCUACAGGUGAUUCCAUCAUUUACCCCUACAGGUGAUUCCAUCAUUUACCCCUACAGGUGAUUCCAUCAUUUACCCCUACAGGUGAUUCCAGCCUUUACCCCUACAGGUGAUUCCAUCAUUUACCCCUACAGGUGAUUCCAUCAUUUACCCCUACAGGUGAUUCCAUCAUUUACCCCUACAGGUGAUUCCAGCCUUUACCCCUACAGGUGAUUCCAGCGUUUACCCCUACAGGUGAUUCCAUCAUUUACCCCUACAGGUGAUUCCAGCCUUUACCCCUACAGGUGAUUCCAGAGGGCAGGUGCUCCUCUCUGGGGUAUCUGGGUCAGAGCAGCAGCAGGUCUUACCUCCAU